AGAACGAACGCUGGCGGCAGGCCUCAAACAUGCAAGUCUAGGGGGUGUAGCAAUACAUCACCGGCGGACGGGUGCGUAACGCGUGGGAAUGUACCUAUUGGUUCGGAACAACUGAGGGAAACUUCAGCUAAUACCGGAUGAGCCCGAAAGGGGAAAGAUUUCUCGCCAAUAGAUCAGCCCGCGUCCGAUUAGCUAGUUGGUGGGGUUAAAGCCUACCAAGGCGACGAUCGGUAGCUGUUCUGAGAGGAAGAUCAGCCACACUGGGACUGAGACACGGCCCAGACUCCUACGGGAGGCAGCAGUUGGGAAUCUUGGACAAUGGGGAAACCCUGAUCCAGCCAUGCCGCGUGAGUGAUGAAGGCCUUCGGGUUGUAAAACUCUUUCGGACGGGGACGAUAAUGACGGUACCCGUAGAAGAAGCUCCGGCUAACUUCGUGCCAGCAGCCGC
rnacentral:rRNA from 1 species